UACAGAGGUCUCAAGCGUUGUUCGGAUUCAUUGGGCGUAAAGGGUGCGUAGGCGGCGCGGUAAGUCGGGUGUGAAAUCUCGGAGCUUAACUCCGAAACUGCAUUCGAUACUGCGGUGCUUGAGGACUUGGAGAGGAGACUGGAAUUCAUGGUGUAGCAGUGAAAUGACGUAGAGAUCAUGAGGAAGACCAGUGGCGAAGGCGGGUCUCUGGACAGUUCCUGACACUGAGGCACGAAGGCCAGGGGAGCAAACGGG
rnacentral:rRNA from 1 species